AGAACGAACGCUGGCGGCAUGCCUAACACAUGCAAGUCGAACGAGACCUUCGGGUCUAGUGGCGCACGGGUGCGUAACGCGUGGGAAUCUGCCCUUGGGUUCGGAAUAACAGCGAGAAAUUGCUGCUAAUACCGGAUGAUGACGUAAGUCCAAAGAUUUAUCGCCCAAGGAUGAGCCCGCGUAGGAUUAGCUAGUUGGUGAGGUAAAGGCUCACCAAGGCGACGAUCUGUAGCUGGUUUGAGAGGACGACCAGCCACACUGGGACUGAGACACGGCCCAGACUCCUACGGGAGCAGCGAGUGGGAUUUGGACAAGUGGGGAACCUGAUCCAGCACGUCCGCGUGUGCGAUGGAAGGCCGUUACGGGUUA
rnacentral:rRNA from 1 species